CACGACGACCUUGCCUUCCAUCUCCACCUCCAGCGCAUCUCCACGCUGUCGUGCGCCGCCGGCCCCCACCAUGCGCCGUCGCAGCCGACCCCCAACACGCCGCCGCGCACCGCCAACGCCCCUCCGCCAUGCGCCUUUCCCACCCCUGCGACUUUCCACCACCAGCGACACUUGAUGCCGGCGCCACACCUUCACCCAAUCCCUCUCUCUCGCCAUGACCCGACGCCGUCGUCCUCCACCACCAGCCCAGCCCCCGCGUGUUCCUUUUCCAGUGACGCUACUCACCUUCCCUCCUCUCUUGGCCGGCGUCCAGUGCUCCGGCGACGGCAAAGACAGUUCCAAACCGUCUGCCUCGCCUCUCAAUCACAGGUGAGCCGACGGGAGCUGGUUCCUCUCCUCCCCGACGCUCUUCUUCACCUGGCCGGAGCACCUGCUCCUCCCAUCACGCACAGAUCAACGGAGCAGUUCGAUGAGAAGAGAUGGCUAUUGAUGAAGCCGAGCUUGAGCCUCUAGAAUUUGCCGAGAAAAUGCACACUCAACAGGAAUUACAACAACAGAAACUGGAGAUGUUAGUUCAGAUUAGAAAACACAAUUCUGAGAGCCAAUCUGUCAUACUUGAGACUUUGCAGAGGCAGUUGGAGAGUGCUGAUUUCGAUACCAGUGCAUCAAUAUUCACUCCGGAGCAGAUCCAAGGGAAUGUUGAGAAACACUCCAGUUCACAUAUUUCAAGAGUGGCACCUGUUGAAACCGUCUGCCUGGCUCCCGUGGCGAACAUCGCCGCCACCCCGCUAUCGAUUCCCACCCAAGCGGCUGGCCUCCUUGCGGUGGUAUUCUUCACCCUCUUUCAUCACCAUGAAGCAGAUCGUCGUUGUGCCGCCGUCCGGCACUGGCUAGCUUGCAGAAUUUAUAUAGGCCUUUCAAUGUCCUCAUUAUCAAGGAGCUGCCUCGGAAUCAAUAAGCAAAGGCUAGCUUGCAGAUGUGCAGAUGGGGGACAUGAAAGGAGCGAAGGAAAGGGAACGGAACGAGCGAAGAAAGGCCGGGCUGGCUCCAAUGGAGCUAGGACAGCGUGGAGUCAGCAGACGGGGGAGCGCAGGCGCUAGGUGGCGAUCACGGGGCUCCACGUCUACCGUCGGGGCGGCGUGCUCGAUCUGCAGAGGACACAACGACGACAGGGGUCUGACAUGAAUAAGGCCAGUCGGUUUUCCAAGAUUGAAAAUGGUGUAUCAUGGCGCAACAAUCAUGAUAUCGAUCAAAUGGACGGAUCACAUCACAAGAGAUACAAGACCUGUUCCUGACUUACGAAAGACAAAACUUGAUACUGGUACAUCACUAGGCAGUGUGUUAAACUUUGCUAUUUCAUAUACAUGGAAAAUUUCAUUCAGAUCUGAGUUGCAGUCAUGCCAUGUA